AUGCAAGUCGAGCGCCCCGCAAGGGGAGCGGCAGACGGGAGAGUAACACGUGGGAACGUGCCCUUUGGUUCGGAACAACACAGGGAAACUUGUGCUAAUACCGGAUAAGUCCGUAAGGAGAAAGAUUUAUCGCCAAAGGAUCGGCCCGCGUCUGAUUAGCUUGUUGGUGAGGUAACGGCUCACCAAGGCGACGAUCAGUAGCUGGUCUGAGAGGAUGAUCAGCCUCACUGGGACUGAGACACGGCCCAGACUCCUACGGGAGGCAGCAGUGGGGAAUAUUGGACAAUGGGCGCAAGCCUGAUCCAGCCAUGCCGCGUGGAUGAUGAAGGCCUUAGGGUUGUAAAGUCCUUUCGGCGGGGAAGAUAAUGACGGUACCCGCAGAAGAAGCCCCGGCUAACUUCGUGCCAGCAGCCGCGGUAAUACGAAGGGGGCUAGCGUUGCUCGGAAUCACUGGGCGUAAAGCGCACGUAGGCGGCUUUUUAAGUCAGAGGUGAAAUCCUGGAGCUCAACUCCAGAACUGCCUUUGAUACUGGAGAGCUUGAGUCCGGGAGAGGUGAGUGGAACUGCGAGUGUAGAGGUGAAAUUCGUAGAUAUUCGCAAGAACACCAGUGGCGAAGGCGGCUCACUGGCCCGGUACUGACGCUGAGGUGCGAAAGCGUGGG
rnacentral:rRNA from 1 species